rnacentral:lncRNA from 1 species
CUCCUCCUCCUCCACCGCCACCACCACCAGCCCCGCCACUACUACCGACCAGUCCCCGCCCUGACUGCCUCACAGACAGCAGUCCGCGCGCACUCUCGUCGUCUCGUUGCGACCCGUUCCGAAUGCGGAUUCAGUGCCGAUUUUUGACGCAUUUGGCCGAUUUUCUGUGCGUGUGAUAAUCUGGAAUGAAGUGAUUGGACUGAUGUGCCACCGCUUGCCCGUGUUCCGUUUUUGUUUUGAGUGAGCAACAAAACAAAACAAAACAGGUUGCACACAUGACCACGACAAAGGGUAAUGCUAGAAUGUUGCACGUCGGUUAUUGACAGUCUCGUGUGUUGUUGAUACUUAUUGCCAUGGUCAGUUUAUCGCAGUGAUAACACUCAGGGCGCACAUAAAACCUCCGACCGUGUUCCCGGGAUGUGCUUGCCAGUGCUGUGUGUUUCGGAGCUGUAAAAAGUGGUGUUGGGAAGUGACGUUGUUUUGCCCCUCGGAGCAAAGAAGCAAGCAAGCAAGCAAGGAAGCAAGCAAGCAAGCAAGCAAGCAAGCAAGGGCCUCAGGAAGGAACCCGCCCGCUCGUCUUGUGAACUGGAGGUUUGGCGAGACACUUGGAAGCUUCUAGGCAACCGGGAGUUCGACGUAGUGCUGGAAGCUUUGCCUUGAAGGAUUUUGGACUCAAGGUAAUGAACCCCGCCGUGCACUGAGCAGAAACAACAGAAGGUGAUUAACUAAUUAUGGUAGAGGGAGGGAGAGGGAGAAGGGGAGUGAGAGAGAGAGAGGGAGAAGGAGAGG